UGAGUAACGCGUGAGCAACCUGUCCCGUACAGGGGGAUAACGUUCUGAAAAGGACGCUAAUACCGCAUAGUAAUUAUGAGGUCGCAUGACUUUAUAAUGAAAGGAGCAAUCCGCUGAGAGAUGGACUCGCGUCUGAUUAGCUUGAUGGUGAGGUAACGGCUCACCAUGGCGACGAUCAGUAGCCGGACUGAGAGGUUGAACGGCCACAUUGGGACUGAGACACGGCCCAGACUCCUACGGGAGGCAGCAGUGGGGGAUAUUACGCAAUGGGGGAAACCCUGACGUAAGCAAUGCCGCGUGAAGGAAGAAGGUUUUCGGAUUGUAAACUUCUUUUGUCAGGGACGAUAAUGACGGUACCUGACGAAUAAGCUCCGGCUAACUAUGUGCCAGCAGCUGC
rnacentral:rRNA from 1 species